CUUCCCCGUUGUUCUCCCAUCGUGCAACAUUCUCUCUUUUCCAUCCGAUUCUCACCUUGCCAUCGGACCUCCGGCAGCCCCGCUCCACCUCCGCCUUCGUCGCCUCCCUCCUCGCCGCCUACCCCUUCGCUGGGAGCAAUGCCACUGGAAGUAAACAAUAGCAACAAAGAUCGUGAUGAGUUAUCUUAGAAUUGCAAUCAACUUGUUUCAAUCGAAACCCGACAAUCAAAUUUGUUUGAACUGAUUUAUUGCAAUAUAUUUUUAUAAAAUCUAUUAUACUAUGAUCUAAGGAUCUAUAUAUGACAUAUUUGGAUGUUGUACGAUAUCUAAUUUGAAUGUUGUAUGGAGUUUA